CUUUUAUUUUCCUCUUUUUUUCUCACGUCCUCUCUUUCUCUCUCUCUUCCUUCACUUUUCUCCCCAAAUUUUUAAUUCUCAAAUCUGUCUUAUUCAACCCUAAUUCAAACCAUAUCUCUUCAAUUCAUAGACUAAUGAAUCUCCGUAUCUUUUCAACCAUAAUCCAUAUCUCUUUUUAACAUAUUUUUCCCAUUUGUUUUUGUAGGUUGAAGAGAUCCGAAUGUUUUAGGUGUGGAUUUAUAUUCUUGAAGUUCAGUAUUUCUUCAACAUAAGAUCUAGAAAAUAUACAAAAUAUAGUGGAUGAAAUUUUGGAUGUGAAAGGCAAAAACAGAUCUAAAGUAUAUCAUUAAGCUCAAGUGAUUUUAUACUUGUAUGCGUGAAUGAUUAUCUUAAGAUCUUGAGAAUGUUUAUAUUUUUUGAUUAAAUAUCCUCUUUGAUUUUAUUUUUCGGUGUGUUUGGUUUGAUUUUCUUUUUACUAUUUUCAUGUUUGCUAUGAAUUCUUUCUUAUUUAUUUGCCUUUUUUGCUUAAUAAUUAUUUUUACUUUGAUUUCAUACGAUUUAUCAAAUAAAUCUUUGAUUUUAUGAUGAAAAUAAACUUCAUAAAAUAUAUUCUAAAUAUUUUCAUUGUAUUUUCUCCAAAAGGUCUAUUAAAUUAAAUGUCUUUGUCUUUUAGUAUUGUUGUUUUGUUUAUGAGCAACUACCCUUACAGCUAAAAAUAUUGAAAUAUUUUGCUGAUAUCCAUGAAUGCUAUUUUAUCAAGGACUUGAAAAAAGAAACCAAAUUCGAAAGUUGGCAAAAUCAAUUUUUAAUUUAUUAAGUUUGAUUAUGUUUUGAUUAUAGGAGAAUUAAUCGGUAAAAUUUUGAAAUUAUUUUAUUAUUUUCUUUUUCUUUUGCAUUGGUUUUUAUUACAUUAUUUCUUAUGGAAGAUGCUUGUUUAGUGUUUGUGUUUUUGUUGGAAGGGAGAAAAAGAAGAUUUUUGUUGGAAGGAACAAAACCUUGGAAGCUGAAAUUGAUUUUCAAAAUCAUUGAAAAUUUUGAUUUGUAUUUAAUUUAAAUGAUGUAAAUUUGAUAUGCAUUUAAGGAGAAUAUUAUUAUGGUUUGACACA